rnacentral:rRNA from 1 species
AGGUAAGCUACUAAGAGCGAAUGGUGGAUGCCUUGACUGGUAAAGGCGAUGAAGGACGUACUAGACUGCGAUAAGCUACGGGGAGCUGUCAAGAAGCUUUGAUCCGUAGAUUUCCGAAUGGGGCAACCCAAUGUAUAGAGAUAUACAUUACCUAUAUAGGAGCGAACGAGGGGAAUUGAAACAUCUUAGUACCCUCAGGAAAAGAAAUCAAUAGAGAUUGCGUCAGUAGCGGCGAGCGAAAGCGCAAGAGGGCAAACCCAGUGCUUGCACUGGGGGUUGUAGGACUGCAAUGUGCAAGAGGUAAGUUUAGCAGAACAUUCUGGAAAGUAUAACCAUAGAGGGUGAUAGUCCCGUAUGCGAAAAACAAACCUUAGCUAGCAGUAUCCUGAGUAGGGCGGGACACGAGGAAUCCUGUCUGAAUCCGGGUCGACCACGAUCCAACCCUAAAUACUAAUACCAGAUCGAUAGUGCACAAGUACCGUGAGGGAAAGGUGAAAAGAACUGAGGUGAUCAGAGUGAAAUAGAACCUGAAACCAUUUGCUUACAAUCAUUCAGAGCCCUAUGUAGCAAUACAGGGUGAUGGACUGCCUUUUGCAUAAUGAGCCUGCGAGUUGUGGUGUCUGGCAAGGUUAAGCAAACGCGAAGCCGUAGCGAAAGCGAGUCUGAAUAGGGCGCUUAGUCAGAUGCUGCAGACCCGAAACGAAGUGAUCUAUCCAUGAGCAAGUUGAAGCUAGUGUAAGAACUAGUGGAGGACUGAACCCAUAGGCGUUGAAAAGCCCCGGGAUGACUUGUGGAUAGGGGUGAAAGGCCAAUCAAACUUCGUGAUAGCUGGUUCUCUCCGAAAUAUAUUUAGGUAUAGCGUUGUGUCGUAAUAUAAGGGGGUAGAGCACUGAAUGGGCUAGGGCAUACACCAAUGUACCAAACCCUAUCAAACUCCGAAUACCUUAUAUGUAAUCACAGCAGUCAGGCGGCGAGUGAUAAAAUCCGUCGUCAAGAGGGAAACAACCCAGACUACCAGCUAAGGUCCCUAAAUCUUACUUAAGUGGAAAACGAUGUGAAGUUACUUAAACAACCAGGAGGUUGGCUUAGAAGCAGCCAUCCUUUAAAGAAAGCGUAAUAGCUCACUGGUCUAGUGAUUUUGCGCGGAAAAUAUAACGGGGCUAAAGUAAGUACCGAAGCUGUAGACUUAGUUUACUAAGUGGUAGGAGAGCGUUCUAUUUGCGUCGAAGGUAUACCGGUAAGGAGUGCUGGAGCGAAUAGAAGUGAGCAUGCAGGCAUGAGUAGCGAUAAUUAAUGUGAGAAUCAUUAACGCCGUAAACCCAAGGUUUCCUACGCGAUGCUCGUCAUCGUAGGGUUAGUCGGGUCCUAAGUCGAGUCCGAAAGGGGUAGACGAUGGCAAAUUGGUUAAUAUUCCAAUACCAACAUUAGUGUGCGAUGGAAGGACGCUUAGGGCUAAGGGGGCUAGCGGAUGGAAGUGCUAGUCUAAGGUCGUAGGAGGUUAUAUAGGCAAAUCCGUAUAACAAUACUCCGAGAACUGAAAGGCUUUUUGAAGUCUUCGGAUGGAUAGAAGAACCCCUGAUGCCGUCGAGCCAAGAAAAGUUUCUAAGUUUAGCUAAUGUUGCCCGUACCGUAAACCGACACAGGUGGGUGGGAUGAGUAUUCUAAGGCGCGUGGAAGAACUCUCUUUAAGGAACUCUGCAAAAUAGCACCGUAUCUUCGGUAUAAGGUGUGGUUAGCUUUGUAUUAGGAUUUACUCCGAAAGCAAGGAAACUUACAACAAAGAGUCCCUCCCGACUGUUUACCAAAAACACAGCACUCUGCUAACUCGUAAGAGGAUGUAUAGGGUGUGACGCCUGCCCGGUGCUCGAAGGUUAAUUGAUGGGGUUAGCAUUAGCGAAGCUCUUGAUCGAAGCCCGAGUAAACGGCGGCCGUAACUAUAACGGUCCUAAGGUAGCGAAAUUCCUUGUCGGUUAAAUACCGACCUGCAUGAAUGGCGUAACGAGAUGGGAGCUGUCUCAAAGAGGGAUCCAGUGAAAUUGUAGUGGAGGUGAAAAUUCCUCCUACCCGCGGCAAGACGGAAAGACCCCGUGGACCUUUACUACAGCUUGACACUGCUACUUGGAUAAGAAUGUGCAGGAUAGGUGGGAGGCUUUGAGUAUAUGACGCCAGUUGUAUAUGAGCCAUUGUUGAGAUACCACUCUUUCUUAUUUGGGUAGCUAACCAGCUUGAGUUAUCCUCAAGUGGGACAAUGUCUGGUGGGUAGUUUGACUGGGGCGGUCGCCUCCCAAAUAAUAACGGAGGCUUACAAAGGUUGGCUCAGAACGGUUGGAAAUCGUUC